rnacentral:rRNA from 1 species
UACGUAGGGACCUAGCGUUGUCCGGAAUCAUUGGGCGUAAAGCGCGCGUAGGCGGCCCGGUAAGUCCGUUGUAAAAGUCGAAGGCUCAACCUUCGAAAGCCGAUGGAUACUGCCGGGCUAGAGUCCGGAAGAGGCGAGUAGAAUUCCUGGUGUAGCGGUGGAAUGCGCAGAUAUCAGGAGGAAUACCCAUAGCGAAGGCAGCUCGCUGGGACGUUACUGACGCUGAGAAGCGAAAGCAUGGGGAGCGAACAGG